AAGAUAUCUCAAAUGCUUCAAAUUGCUUAUACUUGUUGGCAGCACCUCAAAUUCUGAAAGAUCCAAAUCCAAGGCCCUCAAGUAUGGAAUCUUAAGCAGCAUGUAUUAAUGAACUGUUCACUACGAAUCCCCCCACUUUCAUUUAAAACGGAAAUGGUUCGAGCACAUGGUGGGAUUUGUGAUGAUGUAGGAAGAUCCUGAUCAGCAAGUGAUUCAGGAUAAGGAAAAGAU
rnacentral:misc_RNA from 1 species